rnacentral:rRNA from 1 species
CCUACGGGUGGCAGCAGUGGGGAAUAUUGGGCAAUGGGCGCAAGCCUGACCCAGCAAAGCAGCGUGAAGGAAGAAGGCUUUCGGGUUGUAAACUUCUUUUCUCAGGGACGAAGCAAGUGACGAUACCUGAGGAAUAAGCCACGGAUAACAACGUGCCAGCAGCCGCGGUAAUACGUAGGUGGCAAGCGUUAUCCGGAUUUACUGGGUGUAAAGGGCGUGUAGGCGGGUACGCAAGUCAGAUGUGAAAACCACGGGCUCAACCGGUGGCCUGCAUUUGAAACUGUGUUUCUUGAGUACUGGAGAGGCAGACGGAAUUCCUAGUGUAGCGGUGAAAUGCGUAGAUAUUAGGAGGAACACCAGUGGCGAAGGCGGUCUGCUAGACAGCAACUGACGCUGAGGCGCGAAAGCGUGGGGAGCAAACAGGAUUAGAUACCCUUGUAGUC